rnacentral:rRNA from 1 species
CCUACGGGAGGCAGCAGUGAGGAAUAUUGGUCAAUGGACGCAAGUCUGAACCAGCCAUGCCGCGUGCAGGAUGACGGCUCUAUGAGUUGUAAACUGCUUUUGUAAGAGGGUAAACCCCGAUACGUGUAUCGGGUUGAAAGUAUCGUACGAAUAAGGAUCGGCUAACUCCGUGCCAGCAGCCGCGGUAAUACGGAGGAUCCGAGCGGUAUCCGGAUUUAUUGGGUUUAAAGGGUGCGUAGGCGGUUUGAUAAGUUAGAGGUGAAAUGUCGGGGCUCAACCCCGAAACUGCCGCUAAUACUGUUGGACUUGAGAAUAGUUGCGGUAGGCGGAAUGUAUGGUGUAGCGGUGAAAUGCUUAGAGAUCAUACAGAACACCGAUUGCGAAGGCAGCUUACCAAACUAUAUCUGACGUUGAGGCACGAAAGCGUGGGUAGCAAACAGGAUUAGAUACCCUAGUAGUC